CAGUCGCCGCGGUAAUACGGAGGGUGCAAGCGUUAAUCGGAAUUACUGGGCGUAAAGCGCACGCAGGCGGUCUGACAAGUCAGAUGUGAAAUCCCCGGGCUUAACCUGGGAACUGCAUUUGAAACUGUCAGGCUGGAGUCUUGUAGAGGGGGGUGGAAUUCCAGGUGUAGCGGUGAAAUGCGUAGAGAUCUGGAGGAAUACCGGUGGCGAAGGCGGCCCCCUGGACAAAGACUGACGCUCAGGUGCGAAAGCGUGGGGAGCAAACAGGAUUAGAUACCCGAGUAGUACCUGUCUCUUAUAC
rnacentral:rRNA from 1 species